UAUUUUUUUGUCGCCCCUAGGCCUCUUUGGCAUUUAGGUAAAUCCAGUAAUACUUAAAUGAUUAUGACGUUAUGUACUUUGAAAAUUGGAUGCUAUUGCUACGAAAUAAAGUUAUAAAAAGGAACCAACAGUCGCUAAUUAAGAUAUAAUUUCCAGACCUUGGCAAUGUGUAACCUAUUGAGUUGACUGACAUACAAGUAUGUUAAAUUGUUUUUUCCAUACUUGUGAAGGGAACAAGAUGUCAUCAGAUGAAUGUAAAACGUUUGCCUGGGGUAAUCUCUAAAGCACUAAUUUACAAAAAAAAAAAAAAAAAAAGCUAUUGUCAUAAGACCACAUCUGAUAUGUGACUAAGCAAAUUUUAAAACUGAAAUGGAGGAAAGUAUUGAUGCAACUUUGCGGAGAAUUAAUCAACAAGGAGAGGACAUCUUAUACAGAGCACGUUUAAGGAUUGAGAAGCAAAAUUUCAAAACUGAGGAUUUAAAAGGCAAACCUCUUAGUGCCUCAUCAUUGGCAAACAAAUCUUCGAAAGAUGAAGCACUGAAUAAAGCAUUCUCGUCUAUUUUGCAAUAUAUGGACCACAGUUGUACCCAGUGUCAGCUGGCCUGAUGAGCCCUGGUAUUGGGCACUGGAAUGGUAGAUGUAGUGUGGAUGGACACUGCUAAUGGGAGCUGACAUUGCAGGAAACUAUGGUUCUUAGCUGGUCGGGAUUUAGGUUUUCUUACCUAAUGAAAGUUUGUAUGUUUUCGUAUGUACUUUAUUUCAAACGUUUAUGGGUUAGCCACCAUAUUUGUAUACAUAUUGAGUGACGUUUGUCUGUAGUGGUGUGGGUAGAAGCAUGGUUAUUCUACCUUAUAACUUGGUUCUUAAGAACAUUGCAAAAUCGUUUUUAGGGUAAGCAAGUUGUAUGUGAAAAUUUUAUU
rnacentral:misc_RNA from 1 species